UUGAAGCAGCAGCAAUCCCAACAC
rnacentral:piRNA from 1 species